UGGGGGGCCUUAACAUGGCAGGUCGAGCGGGCCCUUUCGGGGGUCAGCGGCAGACGGGUGAGUAACACGUGGGAACGUGCCCAUCGGUUCGGAACAACCCAGGGAAACUUGGGCUAAUACCGGAUACGACCGUGAGGUGAAAGAUUUAUCGCCGAUGGAUCGGCCCGCGUCUGAUUAGCUGGUUGGUGGGGUAACGGCCCACCAAGGCGACGAUCAGUAGCUGGUCUGAGAGGAUGAUCAGCCACACUGGGACUGAGACACGGCCCAGACUCCUACGGGAGGCAGCAGUGGGGAAUAUUGGACAAUGGGCGCAAGCCUGAUCCAGCCAUGCCGCGUGAGUGAUGACGGCCCUAGGGUUGUAAAGCUCUUUCGGCGGGGACGAUAAUGACGGUACCCGCAGAAGAAGCCCCGGCUAACUUCGUGCCAGCAGCCGCGGUAA
rnacentral:rRNA from 1 species